UACGAAGGGGGCUAGCGUUGCUCGGAAUUACUGGGCGUAAAGCGCACGUAGGCGGCUUCUUAAGUCGGUGGUGAAAUCCUGGAGCUCAACUCCAGAACUGCCUUCGAUACUGGGAAGCUCGAGUCCGGGAGAGGUGAGUGGAACUGCGAGUGUAGAGGUGAAAUUCGUAGAUAUUCGCAAGAACACCAGUGGCGAAGGCGGCUCACUGGCCCGUAACUGACGCUCAUGCACGACAGCGUGGGGAUCAAACAGG
rnacentral:rRNA from 1 species